GACGAACGCUGGCGGCGUGCUUAACACAUGCAAGUCGAACGGAAAGGCCCUGCUUUUGUGGGGUGCUCGAGUGGCGAACGGGUGAGUAACACGUGAGUAACCUGCCCUUGACUUUGGGAUAACUUCAGGGAACUGGGGCUAAUACCGGAUAGGAGCUCCUGCUGCAUGGUGGGGGUUGGAAAGUUUCGGCGGUUGGGGAUGGACUCGCGGCUUAUCAGCUUGUUGGUGGGGUAGUGGCUUACCAAGGCUUUGACGGGUAGCCGGCCUGAGAGGGUGACCGGCCACAUUGGGACUGAGAUACGGCGCAGAAGCGUACGGGAGGCAGCAGUGGGGAAUAUUGCACAAUGGGCGGAAGCGUGAUGCAGCAACGCCGCGUGCGGGAUGACGGCCUUCGGGUUGUAAACCGCUUUCGCCUGUGACGAAGCGUGAGUGACGGUAAUGGGUAAAGAAGCACCGGCUAACUACGUG
rnacentral:rRNA from 1 species